rnacentral:miRNA from 1 species
ACCAGCCGGCAAUACGGCUAUCAGCCGGGCGUGUCUGUAGUAUACUAUAGUAUACUACAGACACGCCCGGCUGAUAGCCGUAUUGCCGGCUGGUACCC